rnacentral:rRNA from 1 species
GACGAACGCUGGCGGCGUGCUUAACACAUGCAAGUCGAACGAUGAAGAAGAGACACGCGCACUUCGGUUCAAAUUUCACUUCGGAUUAGUGGCAGACGGGUGAGUAACGCGUGAGCAACCUACCUCUUACAAAGGGAUAGCCUCGGGAAACCGUGAUUAAUACCAUAUGACACAUUCAUAAGGCAUCUUAAGAAUGUUAAAGCUACGGCGGUAAGAGAUGGGCUCGCGUCCCAUUAGCUAGUUGGUGAGGUAACGGCCCACCAAGGCGACGAUGGGUAACCGGCCUGAGAGGGUGAACGGUCACAUUGGAACUGAGACACGGUCCAAACUCCUACGGGAGGCAGCAGUGGGGAAUAUUGCACAAUGGAGGGAACUCUGAUGCAGCGACGCCGCGUGAGCGAUGAAGGAAUUCGUUUCGUAAAGCUCUGUUCUAUGGGAAGAAAAGGACUGUACCAUAGGAGAAAGCCCCGGCUAAAUACGUG